rnacentral:tRNA from 1 species
AGCUAAUGAACUUGAAUAAGUGUAUAUUUUGAAAAUAUAAAAUAGAAUAAACUUUCUAUUAGCUU